CCCUUAGAUGUUCUGGGCCGCACGCGCGCUACACUGAUCAGUGCAACAAGCAUCCGUCCUUGGCCGACAGGCCCGGGCAAUCUUUGAACGCUGAUCGUGAUGGGGAUAGACUUUUGCAAUUUUUGGUCUUCAACGAGGAAUUCCUAGUAAACGCAAGUCAUCAACUUGCAUUGAUUACGUCCCUGCCCUUUGUACCCACCGCCCGUCGCACCUACCGAUUGAAUGGUCCGGUGAAGCCUCCGGAUUGGCGCGCACCUCGGUGCCGCCGAGAAGUUGGCUAAACCUUACCAUUUAGAGGAAGGUGAAGUCGUAACA
rnacentral:rRNA from 1 species